GACGAACGCUGGCGGCGUGCUUAACACAUGCAAGUCGAACGAUGAAGCCGGAGCUUGCUCUGGUGAAUUAGUGGCGAACGGGUGAGUAACACGUGAGUAACCUGCCCUUGACUCUGGGAUAACUGCUAGAAAUGGUAGCUAAUACCGGAUACGACCCUCGGAGGCAUCUCCAGGGGGUGGAAAGAAUUUCGGUCAAGGAUGGACUCGCGGCCUAUCAGCUAGUUGGUGAGGUAACGGCUCACCAAGGCGACGAUCAGUAGCCGACCUGAGAGGGUGAUCGGCCACACUGGAACUGAGACACGGUCCAGACUCCUACGGGAGGCAGCAGUGGGGAAUAUUGCACAAUGGGCGCAAGCCUGAUGCAGCAACGCCGCGUGAGUGAUGAAGGCCUUAGGGUUGUAAAGCUCUUUUACCCGGGAUGAUAAUGACAGUACCGGGAGAAUAAGCCCCGGCUAACUCCGUGCCAGCCGCCGCCGUAA
rnacentral:rRNA from 1 species